UUGUAUUCGCUAAUUGUAUUCUCUUGAUGCAGGUUAAAAGGCUCCUCUGUUCUAUUUCUCCUAAAUUGGAAAUUGGAUCCAGAGUCUUGAUCAUCUUCAAGCUUGAUCCCUUUGGCAACACAGCUGCCCUGGACUCCUUAAGAAAGAAGUGCUGAAAGGAAAUGAGGAAGAGGUGCGUGGGAGUGCAGAGAAAGGAGCAGAAGAAAAGGAAGGAGCAAGAGUCAUCAAGAGAACAACACAGAUAAAAUUUAAUCAGGAGGUAAUUUCUCUUUUCUUCAUCUUCUUCUUAAUUAUGCCAGGAAAGGGGACUCUGCAGAAAGAGUGGAGUUACUACAUUAUGCGUUGAUGUUGUCAAAUCUUAAGUUAAUCUCAUCAAAGUCUGUAAACUCCUAGAUUGCACCAUCAUAUAGUACUGAAGGAAAAUCAUUCUUCUGGAGACCAUAUUGAAAGGAGAGCAAGGACAAGAGGGAGGGGAAUGAGGACUGCAGAUGCAGAAAGUGAUCAAACUUGAACCUGAACUUGCAAUUGCAGUGUCUUGUCUUUGCUACAUGCUUUACAGUGUACAAAACACCUUCCCAUAAGUCAUUGCUAUAGGACCAAUGUUAUUAGCAUAAUUUUAAAUACAGGGAGACUAAAGUUUAGAGAAGUGAGGGGCGACCUAAAAGUCGCAAAGUAGAAAGCAAUGCUGGGGCUAGAAUUUAGAUAUUCUGAUCCCUUCAGCAGGACUUUUUCCUUAGAGAUAUAUUCAAAUACAGACUGAAAUGGGC
ensembl:lincRNA